GCUAAAAACCUAGCCCCACUUACCCCCCCCCCCCCCCAUAAUAUUUUACUAAACAAAAUAAACCAUUUUUUUAAUCUAGUAAAGGCGAUAAAAAAAUUUACCGGAGCUACAUAAAUAGUACCGCAAGGGAAAGCUGAAAUAAAAUUGAAAUAAACGUUUAAGCCCAGAAAAGUAGAGACUUUACCUCGUACCUUUUGCAUCAUGGUUUAACUAGUCUAAAUCAAGCAAAAAGAAUUUAAGUUUGACCACCCGAAACUAAGUGAGCUACUUCAAGGCAGCUUAAUGAGCCAACCCGUCUCUGUUGCAAAAGAGUGGGAAGACCUUCAAAGUAGCGGUGACAGACCAAACGAACUUAGUGAUAGCUGGUUACCUGAUAAAAGAAUUUUAGUUCUGCCUAAAGCAAUAAAAAGAAAAAUUAAACUAAUUUUUCUGCUUUAGAGUUAUUCAAAUAAGGUACAGCCUAUUUGAACAAGGAUACAACCUAAGCUAAUGGGUUAACUAAUUUUAAUGUACCAAAGUGGGCCUAAAAGCAGCCACCUUUAAAAUAGCGUCAAAGCUUAUUAACACAACUUUCUCUUAAUCUCAUAAUACAACUUUAACCCUUUAUUAUAAUCAGGUAAUUCUAUACCACUAUAGAAUUUAUUAUGUUAAAACUAGUAACAAGAAGUAGACCCUUCUCUUUAAUGUCAGUAUAAGCCAGAAAGGAAAAACCACUGUCAAUUAACACCUGUGAUCCUAAACUAGCAACCCAACAAGAAAACCCUAUUUUAUAAAGUGUUAAACUAACACAAGAGCAUUGCAAGAAAGAUUUAAAGAAAAAGAAGGAACUCGGCAAAUAUUAACCCCGCCUGUUUACCAAAAACAUCGCCUCUUGAAAAAAUAUAAGAGGUCCAGCCUGCCCAGUGACCUAGUUCAACGGCCGCGGUAUCCUAACCGUGCGAAGGUAGCGUAAUCACUUGUUCUUUAAAUAAGGACUAGUAUGAAUGGCACCACGAGGGUUACACUGUCUCCUUUUUCUAAUCAGUGAAACUAAUCUCCCCGUGAAGAAGCUGGGAUUUUUUUAUAAGACGAGAAGACCCUAUGGAGCUUUAAACUAAUUAAUAUUUGCUGUCCACAUUUUACAUUUCAGAAACCUACAUAAAACAUAGCACUCUAAUUAAUAGUUUUCGAUUGGGGUGAUCACGGAGUAAAAAACAACCUCCGUGCCGAAAGGGGCCUAUUCCCCUGAGCAAAAAGCUACGACUUUAAGCACUAAAAAAAUUAACGUUUAUUGACCCAAUAUAUUGAUCAACGAACCAAGUUACCCUAGGGAUAACAGCGCAAUCCACUUCAAGAGCUCCUAUCGACAAGUGGGUUUACGACCUCGAUGUUGGAUCAGGGUGUCCCAGUGGUGCAGCCGCUACUAACGGUUCGUUUGUUCAACGAUUAAAACCCU
rnacentral:rRNA from 1 species